rnacentral:rRNA from 1 species
GACGAACGCUGGCGGCGUGCCUAAUACAUGCAAGUCGAGCGGACAGAAGGGAGCUUGCUCCCGGAUGUUAGCGGCGGACGGGUGAGUAACACGUGGGUAACCUGCCUGUAAGACUGGGAUAACUCCGGGAAACCGGAGCUAAUACCGGAUAGUUCCUUGAACCGCAUGGUUCAAGGAUGAAAGACGGUUUCGGCUGUCACUUACAGAUGGACCCGCGGCGCAUGAGCUAGUUGGUGGGGUAAUGGCUCACCAAGGCGACGAUGCGUAGCCGACCUGAGAGGGUGAUCGGCCACACUGGGACUGAGACACGGCCCAGACUCCUACGGGAGGCAGCAGUAGGGAAUCUUCCGCAAUGGACGAAAGUCUGACGGAGCAACGCCGCGUGAGUGAUGAAGGUUUUCGGAUCGUAAAGCUCUGUUGUUAGGGAAGAACAAGUGCGAGAGUAACUGCUCGCACCUUGACGGUACCUAACCAGAAAGCCACGGCUAACUACGUGCCAGCCGCCGCCGUAA